AUCUUGUCCUCCAUGCAGAGGAAGGUGUAGAUGGAUAUAUAUUUGAGGAAAACACUAAAACUUAGACUAUUGCAUUGUACCCUCUUAGAAGACUUCUAAGACUGCUGUCAUGCUUACCACAGACAUUCAGAUGAUGUGUAUUCUAGACUGUAUUUUCAAUUUUGGAUCUCAUGAAGGAACUGCUGCCUGACACAACACCACAUUCACUACAGUGGACAGAUGCUCUAGUCUCUGAUGUGGAGCUGCUACCUGAGAAGGCAGUACCUGGAAUGUUCAUCACUGCAUGAGGUAGGCUGGGACUUUGAUCUCAUGUCAAAGAAAGAGUAUGAUAAUUUAAACUCUACCCACCCAAACAUGCUGCUUUACCUCUCUGAAGGGCAUUCAGAUUUCCAAUUUCUCCCAAGGAGGCCCUCAUGUAUUUCCCCUCUGACCCUUGGAGUCUUGUAUAUUUUACAUGGCUCUUAGGGUCUCAUUCCUUCCCCAUGCCCCUCUCCUCUCACCUCUGACCAGUAUUCAUAUAUCUCUGAUUAGUGUUGGGGACAAUCUCUAUAUGACAACGAGUCCAUCAAUAGUGCCUACAUGCUAUUUCUGAAUAAUUGGAUCUUCAAACUCCAAACUUCAAACCCUCUUGCCAAGGGUAGUUCAGACAUUACUUUCUCAUUACAUGGUGUCUCUAUACUAGCAUCUUUAUUUAACAGGCCUCUGGUUUUACCUUCUGGCCAAGCAGGUCUCCAACUUUGCUCCAAGAGAAGUCACAUUUACACAUUGUAGACAAAGAGGCUUUGGACAUUCUCCUGCUCAUCAUUAUGACAUUCCUCUCCUCAGGUUUGAGGUCUCCAGAGCAGGAAGGAGAUCCUGGAUUCGCACUCAUCUUCAUGGCAUUCUUCAUCAAUGGAGUGGUCCCAACCUUAGUAUCCAGACACGGAUGGUUGAACACAAACCUGCCAGGCUGACAAAGCACUAGACACCCAUCCACAUCCUUAGAACUGUGUUCAGAUUGCUGGUCAUCCUGAAGGUGCCACAGAUGACAUGGUUACUAUUGCUUCUCGUUGUUCUUCUUUUCUUGGUGUUAUUUUCUUUUAAGUUUAGAAGAGGACAUCUUGUUAUUUUGUUGUUAUGUUAGUCAUCUACUGGCAUUAAAAUCUAACAAGUCACUGCUUAAAAGUUACACAUUUUCUACUCUUUUUGAAAAUCACAAUGUAUGCUUAUCUUUUUUCCUGUUGCUUCAAAGACAUACGACUAUGAAAUUCUACUUUACAAAUGUAAUCAUUUUGACUAAUAUUCACUUGAAUAUAUAUUCUAUGUACAAAACUGCUUCCUGUGCUGUAUUGUUUUUCACUGGAUGACAGUUUCAUUCGGAGUUGUUUGGAAGAUGAUUUCUUACUGUUGUGUCUUAAAAAGAUCUAUCUUGGAGCUGAGGGUGUAUAAUUGAAUAUCUCCAGCAACAUAAAAGCCUUCUGUAACAUUACUCUCUAGUAGAUUAUAAGUAUCAGUUAGUGUACAGUAGUAACUGAAGCAGUGAACAAGUAUGAGAAAGAGUUUUUAAGAUUUAAUAACUAAAAAUAGCCUAAAACAAAGGAAAGCCUAGUUAUUGAUCAAAUAUAUGCAUAUCAAAAGA